AACGAACGCUGGCGGUAUGCCUAACACAUGCAAGUCGAACGAGACCUUCGGGUCUAGUGGCGCACGGGUGCGUAACGCGUGGGAACCUGCCCUUAGGCUCGGAAUAACUCCUCGAAAGGGGUGCUAAUACCGGAUAACGUCCUCGGAUCAAAGAUUCAUCGUCUUUGGAUGGGCCCGCGUUGGUUUAGCUAGUUGGUAGGGUAAAAGCCUACCAAGGAGACGAUCCAUAGCUGGUCUGAGAGGAUGAUCAGCCACACUGGGACUGAGACACGGCCCAGACUCCUACGGGAGGCAGCAGUGGGGAAUAUUGGACAAUGGGCGAAAGCCUGAUCCAGCAAUGCCGCGUGAGUGAUGAAGGCCUUAGGGUUGUAAAGCUCUUUUACCCGGGAUGAUAAUGACAGUACCGGGAGAAUAAGCACCGGCUAACUCCGUG
rnacentral:rRNA from 1 species